CCUGGGCAGGAGAGAUUUAAGAACACCGUCCCCCCGCUUUCGCGGAAAGGCCAAGAGUGACUUGAAAUGUAGACGCGGAGGCCUAUGGGAAAUGCAGUUUUAAAUAGGUGAGGUUCACCGCCUGGACUCUGGGAAGGGGACGCCACGCUCCUUCUGCGCAUGUGCAGCCGUAGCCUCCUCGUUUGUCUUCUCAGGACUCCAGAGAACCGUUGGGGAACUUUGGGGUGUGCUCGGAAAAUGCAGGGUGCGCACCUAGGGCGAGGGACUAGCUGGGAAGGGUGUGCCUGUGCUUGGGGAUGGGAGCAGGAAGUGUCUGGGACCUCGUCGCCCCCCGCGGCGGUGUAUAAACCCGGGCGGGCCGUCAGAGUGGUUAAGGCCGAUGGGGGAGACCCCGGCCCUCGGGAUCCCGGGGCGCAGGUGUUCGGGGCGGUCCGGGAUGCCCGAGGAUCGUGUGACCAGCCCGCCUGCAGCCCGACCGGAGAGAAGCCCGUGUCGGCGGCGGUGGGUGCGGGAGGGAGGAGUGCGUUUAUCAGGCGGACGGUGACCCGUGGGUCUGCGGUGGAGCCCGAGCUCUGGAGCACUACAGGCCCGGUCAGUGCCAGCUCUGUCACCUGUAAGCAGGGGCGACAGAAGGAACCUGGGCGAGAGUCAGGGUUCUCAUCUAUAAAUAUUAAUAAUGAUUGUUUCACGGCGGCGUUUGGAAACAUAGAUCACUAUUUUAGACAAGUGCCAGAGCUUCAGAGCAGAGACAAGAGCCCAGAAAGGAGCAGAUGCUAGAUUUGCAAGAUCAGAAGCAGGUCUUGAUCCUCCUGCCCAGAAUGGGCCAGACUUGAUGAUGAUGCCACCUUCAGGAGCCACCACACUGUGUGACAGUGGGGCAUUUGGGCCGUCCCUGGGAAGUACAGAUGCGCUGCUGUCACACAUGUCCACCACCACAUGUGACAUUAGUGACGUUAUCCUGAUCUCACAGGAUCCAAGAAUGAUGAUCUGUGAAGAGUUUUCCAAGGUCACCUACUUCUAACUCUUUUGAAAGAUUUAAAGACAUGGGGCCUGAAAAUUUCAGUGACUUGUCCAGGGAAACGCAGUUUGUGACAGUUCACUCUCUCACAGCUGAACCACAGUCCUCUGUACUCGCCCAGGAGCCACAGAAAGUGAACAUCCCUCAGAUUCCACCUGCCACCACUGGAGGAGGUUCAGGAGCUGUGUAUUCUGAGCCUGCUGUGAUCCCUGGUGUCUGUGCUUGUCCUUUGGAAUCUAUGCUGACAGGACCCAUCUGCGAUUGCCUGCUUGUAGCUGCUGCUUUGCUAAUGUAUGCACGGGCACUCUAGACGGGGUCCCUUGCUCUGGCUGACUGGCUGAGCUUGUGAGCCCAGCAGGGGGAGGGGCACUUCUUUUGCAUGUGCCAUCCCGUGGGUGUUCUCUCUUUGCCCUUGCUGUCUGUCCUCCUGGCGUGCUGGCUUCAUGAAGACAACCCCACAAUAGCUUAGCCUCCUCUGUGGAGCUUUCCUAUGGGAUGUGAGGGAACUUGGAGAGCAAAGGCAUUCCCACAGAGUCUCCCCCCAGGCCCCUCUUUUCUCAGAGCUGUGCAUGGUCCUGUGCCCUAGGUCAUUGCUGGGGAGGGAGAGGAGAUCCCCUUACUUCCUCCUUCUUCCUCCUGGGGGGUCCAGCACCUCCACCUUCAGACAUAUGGCUGCAUGGGUCUCUCAGAUGUCUUUUGUGUUGUGUGCCUGUCCUCUUUUGGUUUAUGAAUGUCCUUUUCAUUGUUUCUUAGGGAGGAGAGUCUAAGGGAAGAUCUCACUCCGCCGUGAUGCUGAUGUCAUGCCUGGUCAUUCUAUUUUUAAGUUUUUGAGGAAUCUCUGUACUGUUUUCCACAGUGGCUGCACCAAUUUACAUUCCCACCAGCAGUGUAUGAGGGCUCCCUUUUCUCCCAUCCUCUCCAACACUUCUGUUUUCUUUGUAAAGAUUGUCACCUGAGCUAACAUCUGUUGUCUAUCUUUUUUUCCUUCUUGUUCUCCCAAAACCCUCCCAGUACAUAGUUGUAUAUUGUAGUUAUAUGUCCUUCUGGCUGUGCUGUGUGGGAUGCCACCUCAGCAUGGCUUGAUGAGU
rnacentral:lncRNA from 1 species